rnacentral:lncRNA from 1 species
GAAGACCCAAACAAAGGAGUGGUACAGUCCAGCAGUACAAUCCACUCAACAGAACAGAUAGUCAGAUGCAGAAACCAAACAAAACCUAGUUUGCCCGUAAGUUUGUUCAUUUUGAAUUCAACUUAAACAUACCAAACAGUUGAAGAGAAUGACAAGGAAACACAGCCAGCGCUGAUAUUUAAAUUGAAUUUAGGUGUUGUGUUUUAUAAACUUACUUGAUAUAUAGAUGUUUAAUCCUUUCUCUAAUUGUUGAGGGAUUUGCACUUGUACUAUUCAUUGCAUACAUUGUGUGCAUCACUUCUUCAACUAUCUAUAUAUUCAAGUUUUG